rnacentral:rRNA from 1 species
AUGGCGGACCAGCUGAGCGAGGAGCAGAUUGGCGAGUUCAAGGAGGCCUUCAGCCUCUUCGACAAGGACGGCGAUGGCAGCAUCACCACCAAGGAGCUUGGAACCGUGAUGCGCUCCCUCGGCCAGAACCCUACCGAGGCAGAGCUGCAGGACAUGAUCAACGAGGUGGAUGCGGACGGCAACGGCACCAUCGACUUCCCAGAGUUCCUGAACCUGAUGGCCCGCAAGAUGAAGGACACGGACUCCGAGGAGGAGCUCAAGGAGGCGUUCCGCGUGUUUGACAAGGACCAGAACGGUUUCAUCUCCGCGGCGGAGCUCCGCCAGGUGAUGACCAACCUCGGGGAGAAGCUGUCUGAGGAGGAGGUGGAGGAGAUGGUCCGCGAGGCCGAUGUGGACGGCGAUGGCCAGAUCAACUACGACGAGUUCGUCAAGGUCAUGAUGGCCAAGAGAAGGGAGAAGAGGAUAGAGGAGAGGAGAGCGCCGUCGGCCAAGAAGAGCGUGGCAGGGGCAUCCGGUGCAAAGAGUGGCAGCAAAUGCACAAUCCUCUAG